rnacentral:rRNA from 1 species
CAUUACCUGUUCUGAUACAAACAAUCGUUACAACUUUCAACAAUGGAUCUCUUGGCUCUGGCAUCGAUGAAGAACGCAGCGAAAUGCGAUAAGUAGUGUGAAUUGCAGAAUUCAGUGAAUCAUCGAAUCUUUGAACGCACAUUGCGCCCCUUGGUAUUCCAUGGGGCAUGCCUGUUCGAGCGUCAUCUACACCCUCAAGCUCUGCUUGGUGUUGGGCGUCUGUCCCGCCUCUGCGCGCGGACUCGCCCCAAAUUCAUUGGCAG